GAGGGUAUAGCUCAGUGAUAGAGCGCAUGCCCAGCAUGCAUGAGGUCCUGGGUUCAAUCCCCAGUACCUCCA
rfam:Camelus ferus unplaced genomic scaffold scaffold705, whole genome shotgun sequence.